rnacentral:rRNA from 1 species
UAUGAAGGGGGCUAGCGUUGUUCGGAAUCACUGGGCGUAAAGGGCGCGUAGGCGGCUUUAUAAGUCGGGGGUGAAAGCCUGUGGCUCAACCACAGAAUUGCCUUCGAUACUGUAGAGCUUGAGACCGGAAGAGGUAAGUGGAACUGCGAGUGUAGAGGUGAAAUUCGUAGAUAUUCGCAAGAACACCAGUGGCGAAGGCGGCUCACUGGCCCGGUACUGACGCUGAGGUGCGAAAGCGUGGGGAGCAAACAGG